rnacentral:lncRNA from 1 species
UUUCCACUCCUUUCACAACCGUCGUCCUCUUUCAAACCACACACGACUUCUGUGACGUCGCCGCUCAACCGACCACCACCGAAAGUUGGUGUUUUGGAAGCGGUUUGAAGAGUUGAGAGGAAGAAGUCCGAUCUAUUUCCACUUAUUCCUCCGUCCAAACACCAACUCCGUGAAACCCUUUUUCGCCUUCAACCGCGCAUCCUCCGCACCUCUUAUUCCAACUCUGUUUCGGAUGGCUGCGAGUUGGCAAGGCGUUUUAGAUUGGACGGCUGUUUGGUUUUAAUUCUUUUGUUUAUGCAGGUAAUGGUUUGGAACGAAAGGCUAAAAAGCACCGGAUUCACUUCACCAACUAUGGAGUAUCAAGUUCAACAAGCACUUCGAGACAUUGACGCCCUAUUUCCACCGCCUGCGAAAACAACACGCCAAAUCGCGUUUACAUUUCUGCAUUCGGUAAUCUUUUAAACUGAAAACAUUGAUUACAAUUGGUCCAUGUUCUGAUGCUGUUUUGGUUAUCGAAUCAUGUGUACAACUAAAUUUUUCUUUGGUAUAUGAUUGCAUUAUGCAUUGGAUUUCCUGCAUAAAUUGGUUCUGAUUCCAUAUGUUUCAUGACAGAGUGUAUGGAUAAGUAAUUGAUGUCGACACUGCGGUGAUUUUGUAAAUAAUUUCAAGCGGUCCUUGUUUCGACAUAUUAUUAUGUAACAUGCUUGCUGCCAAAUUUGAUAUAAGGCUUUGGUUACAUUAUGGUUAUACUAUGUAACGUUUUGGCAUGGCUGCUGUUAUAGUCCCUUAUCUUUCUCCCUAAAUAUCCAUAAGUCAUUUGUUUCAUAGAGAAGUGGUAGACUUCAAAAAGGCAGAAAAUAUUUGUUUACUGUUCUAUGCUUAGAAUGAUAGUGCAUCGUUUUUGGUUUUGAUAUUUGGUUGAGGAAAGAUUAAUAUAAAAGGUACACCUCAGUGAUUAUUCAUGUGUUUGUAUCACAUUUGUAAAUAAUCUUAAUUCAAUUCUUUUGCUGAUUUUAUUAUUAUUAUUAGGAAUAAUGUAUAAAGGAUCAUAGGUCGUUUCGUUGAUAUAAUAAAAAUGUCAUUUAUUUUUUAAUCGGAUUUUUUUAUCCAUGGAUCCGACAAUUUCAUGUCGUCAUGCCGCC